rnacentral:rRNA from 1 species
UACGUAGGGUGCGAGCGUUGUCCGGAAUUAUUGGGCGUAAAGAGCUCGUAGGCGGUCUGUCGCGUCUGUUGUGAAAACUCGAGGCUCAACCUCGGGCUUGCAGUGGAUACGGGCAGACUAGAGUGCGGUAGGGGAGACUGGAAUUCCUGGUGUAGCGGUGGAAUGCGCAGAUAUCAGGAGGAACACCGAUGGCGAAGGCAGGUCUCUGGGCCGCAACUGACGCUGGAGGAGCAGGAAAGCAUGGGGAGCGAACAGG